rnacentral:rRNA from 1 species
AUGCUUAACACAUGCAAGUCGAACGGAAACGAUGGAAGCUUGCUUCCAGGCGUCGAGUGGCGGACGGGUGAGUAAUGCUUGGGAAUCUGCCUAAUAGUGGGGGAAAACUCGGGGAAACUCGGGCUAAUACCGCAUAAUCUCUUCGGAGGAAAGGGGGCCUCUACAUGUAAGCUCUCGCUAAUAGAUGAGCCCAAGUCAGAUUAGCUUGUUGGUGAGGUAAAAGCUCACCAAGGCUACGAUCUGUAGCUGGUCUGAGAGGACGAUCAGCCACACUGGGACUGAGACACGGCCCAGACUCCUACGGGAGGCAGCAGUGGGGAAUAUUGCACAAUGGGCGCAAGCCUGAUGCAGCAAUGCCGCGUGUGUGAAGAAGGCCUUAGGGUUGUAAAGCACUUUCAAUAGAGAAGAAAAGCUUAGAGUUAAUAACUCUAAGCAUUGACGUAACCUAUAGAAGAAGCACCGGCUAAAUCCGUGCCAGCAGCCGCGGUAAUACGGAUGGUGCGAGCGUUAAUCGGAAUUACUGGGCGUAAAGCGUACGUAGGCUGUUUUAUAAGUCGGAUGUGAAAUCCCCGGGCUCAACCUGGGAACUGCAUCCGAAACUAUUUAACUAGAGUAUGGGAGAGGUAAGUAGAAUUUCCGGUGUAGCGGUGAAAUGCGUAGAUAUCUGAAGGAACACCAGUGG